rnacentral:rRNA from 1 species
UACGUAGGGCGCAAGCGUUAUCCGGAAUUAUUGGGCGUAAAGAGCUCGUAGGCGGUUUGUCGCGUCUGCCGUGAAAGUCCGGGGCUCAACUCCGGAUCUGCGGUGGGUACGGGCAGACUAGAGUGAUGUAGGGGAGACUGGAAUUCCUGGUGUAGCGGUGAAAUGCGCAGAUAUCAGGAGGAACACCGAUGGCGAAGGCGGAUCUCUGGGCCAUUACUGACGCUGAGGAGCGAAAGCUAGGGGAGCGAACAGG